rnacentral:rRNA from 1 species
UGAACGCUGGCGGUAGGCCUAACACAUGCAAGUCGAACGGCAGCACAGUAAGAGCUUGCUCUUACGGGUGGCGAGUGGCGGACGGGUGAGGAAUACAUCGGAAUCUACUUUUUCGUGGGGGAUAACGUAGGGAAACUUACGCUAAUACCGCAUACGACCUACGGGUGAAAGCAGGGGAUCUUCGGACCUUGCGCGAUUGAAUGAGCCGAUGUCGGAUUAGCUAGUUGGCGGGGUAAAGGCCCACCAAGGCGACGAUCCGUAGCUGGUCUGAGAGGAUGAUCAGCCACACUGGAACUGAGACACGGUCCAGACUCCUACGGGAGGCAGCAGUGGGGAAUAUUUGACAAUGGGCGCAAGCCUGAUCCAGCCAUACCGCGUGGGUGAAGAAGGCCUUCGGGUUGUAAAGCCCUUUUGUUGGGAAAGAAAAGCAGCAGGUUAAUACCCCGCUGUUCUGACGGUACCCAAAGAAUAAGCACCGGCUAACUUCGUG